ensembl:lncRNA
GGUCUAGGCCCGCCAGGUCUCACUUGAGCCGAAGCGCUCCGGGUUCCUUCACUCCUGGCCCACUCUGGGACACAGGGAGAUUUUUGCAGCUGUGAGGGAUGCUGUUUUUGAGCUCAGUUUAAAGGGUAAGAUGCCUUUCUGACAGCCCUGGACUCAGAGACAUGAAAUCUUCAGGGUGGCUGGAGAUGGAUCAAAGAACCACGUCUCAGUAAGUCAACAACUUCAUUGGACCAAUAUGCUCAAAAUGCAUCUUUUUGAACGCAGAAACUCUUGUUCAGCUACUGCAGUAACAAAUUCUUUCUGUGGAAAAAAGUAAAGAUGAGUGGAAAUUGUGCUCUAUCAUCUCACCGUGCUUCUGAGCGACCUGAGUGUUCGCACCAUGAACCCACAGCCGGAGCAUCACAGCCCAUGGGGGGAGGCGAACUGUAAUUAUAGAUAAAUUUAGAAGAGAAAAUAAGUUUUCUGGAGUGACUGGAAAACUAAAGCUGGAAAGUAAGAGGUGAUAUCAUUUGAGGAUGAAGGACACAGAAACAUCAAGUUUUACCAGCACAGAUAAGCCGGCUUAGAGACGCUGAAGGCCAGCUGGGGCUCUGUGAUGUGCCACGGCUCUGUCCCAUUGCCGGUUCAUCCUUUCUUAUGGCUCCCUCCCUGCAUAUAGCUUUGUAAACUGCCCCGAAUCCUUUCGGAAAUUGAGCAGUGCCCGAACAAACAAAAAUACUGAUUUUUAGGUGCUUUCUGAUGUAUUGUGAAAUUGAAUUUUAACAGUCAAGGUAAUUAAAAUAAAAGAAGGGUUAUUUUUGUUUUAAUCUUUCAUUAUUGAAAUGAAACUAUUUCCUCAGUGCUUUUUAGCGCUUGUGCCUCAUGGUGGUGGUCAGGCAGGUAUCCUUCUACAGCGGUAUUUAUUGAUAGCUCCUCAUGCAAUCAUAUAUGGUCAGCUAUACGUCUGUAGAAGGUUUUCUACAGGUGAUUAUUUGCUUUACAGAAAUAGGAUCCUUUGGGGUUUUUUGGCCAUGCGGCAUAUGGGAUGCUAGUUCCCUGACCAGGAAUGGAACCCGUGCCCCCUGCAUUGGAAGAGCAGUGUCCUAACCACUGGACCACUAGGGAAGCCCCAGCAUCAUAUUUUAAAUACACUCUGUUUUUGUUUUCUGAGGCUCCCUGGUGGUCUUGCCAGAUCACUCUUGUAAGUCAUUCUUUUGAUGACUAUGUGAUAUUUUAGGGUGUGGAUAGAUCACGAUUUAUUUAGUGAUUCCCCACUCAUUAGCUUGGGGUUGUCUCCACUUUUUAUUUUGCCCCAAUAAAGGAAACUGCAAUAAUCAUCUUUAUAUAUUUAUUCUGAGGUAAUGUGCUUUUACUUUAUAGGAGUGCUGAGUUAGAG